rnacentral:rRNA from 1 species
CUUGCUACUCUGCCGGCGAGCGGCGGACGGGUGAGUAAAGUCUGGGRAUCUGGCUUAUGGAGGGGGAUAACCAUUGGAAACGGUGGCUAAUACCGCAUGAUGUCGCAAGACCAAAGUGGGGGACCUUARGGCCUCACGCCAUGAGAUGAACCCAGAUGAGAUUAGCUAGUAGGUGCGGUAAUGGCGUACCUAGGCGACGAUCUCUAGCUGGUCUGAGAGGAUGACCAGCCACACUGGAACUGAGAGACGGUCCAGACUCCUACGGGAGGCAGCAGUGGGGAAUAUUGCACAAUGGGCGGAAGCCUGAUGCAGCCAUGCCGCGUGUGUGAAGAAGGCCUUAGGGUUGUAAAGCACUUUCAGCGGGGAGGAAGGCGGUAAGAGUAAUAUGCUUAUCRAUUGACGUUACCCGCAAAAGAAGCACCGGCUAACUCCGUGCCAGCAGCCGCGGUAAUACGGAGGGUGCGAGCGUUAAUCGGAAUAACUGGGCGUAAAGRGCAUGUAGGCGGUAAGUUAAGUCAGAUGUGAAAUCCCCGAGCUUAACUUGGGAACGGCAUUUGAGACUGGCUGGCUAGAGUUUUGUAGAGGGGGGUAGAAUUCCAGGUGUAGCGGUGAAAUGCGUAGAGAUCUGGAGGAAUACCGGUGGCGAAGGCGGCCCCCUGGACAAGGACUGACGCUGAGGUGCGAAAGCGUGGGUAGCAAACAGGAUUAGAUACCCUGGUAGUCCACGCUGUAAACGAUGUCGAUUUGGAGGUUGUGACCUAGUGUUAUGG